ACGGAGGGUGCAAGCGUUAAUCGGAAUUACUGGGCGUAAAGCGCACGCAGGCGGUUUGUUAAGUCAGAGGUGAAAGCUCCCAGCUUAACCGUGGAACUGCAGUUGAUACUGUUAGACUUGAGUGUCAAAGAGGUAGGUGGAAUGCGAGGUGUAGCGGUGAAAUGCGUAGAGAUCACGCGGAACACCGAUGGCGAAGGCAGCUUACCAGACGACAACUGACGCUGAAGCGCGAAAGCGUGGGGAUCAAACAG
rnacentral:rRNA from 1 species